AAUAAAUUACAUUACUUAAAUAAUGAUUUGUUCAUCUGUAUUGAACAACAUGUUAAUUAUUUGAAGAUAAAUAUUAUUUUUCAUUGUUGCCCUUCAAAUAUCAGUGCAUGUUUUUUUCCUUUGGCUCUUUGUUUCAAUACACGGCCAUUUCUCAAGGUUUCUCGGAAAAUGUACAAAAUAGUCUUAAUUUUUCUCCUCUUCCAAAUAGCAUCGACCUAUGCUAGGGUAAUAUGUGAUAUUGCAUGCGAAGAAAACAAUAACUGCCCAGUUUUAUUAUGUGGCAAUCCUGUAGCACCUGCUUGCGGCUGCUGCCUCAUAUGUCCUGUUGAAGGUAAAUCGUAACAGUCAGUUCAUACAAAACAAUUUUUAUAGCAAGGGAGAAGUGAAACAACGCAAAUGAUCUUCUGAUUACGAAGGCAUUAUGAUUUUGACGUUUAUUAUUGUGACUAAUCAAUAAAGUUUUUAAAAAAAUUA